UGAUCAUGGCUCAGAUUGAACGCUGGCGGCAGGCCUAACACAUGCAAGUCGAGCGGUAGCGGGAAGAGCUUGCUCUUUGCCGACGAGCGGCGGACGGGUGCGUAACACGUAGGAAUCUGCCCGGUAGUGGGGGAUAGCCCGGAGAAAUCCGGAUUAAUACCGCAUACGCCCUAAGGGGGAAAGCAGGGGAUCUUCGGACCUUGCGCUAUCAGAUGAGCCUGCGUCGGAUUAGCUGGUUGGUGGGGUAAAGGCCUACCAAGGCGACGAUCCGUAGCUGGUCUGAGAGGAUGAUCAGCCACACUGGGACUGAGACACGGCCCAGACUCCUACGGGAGGCAGCAGAA
rnacentral:rRNA from 1 species